rfam:Acinetobacter sp. CAG:196 genomic scaffold, scf43
GGGCUGCUAGCUCAGGUGGUUAGAGCGCACCCCUGAUAAGGGUGAGGUCGGUGGUUCGAGUCCACUGCGGCCCA